GGAUUAGAUACCCUGGUAGUCCACGCCCUAAACGAUGAGAACUAGCUGUUGGGAGAGUUUAGUCUCUUAGUAGCGAAGCUAACGUGUUAAGUUCUCCGCCUGGGGAGUACGGCCGCAAGGUUAAAACUCAAAUGAAUUGACGGGGGCCCGCACAAGCGGUGGAGCAUGUGGUUUAAUUCGAUGCAACGCGAAGAACCUUACCUGGUCUUGACAUCCCGCGAACUUUCCAGAGAUGGAUUGGUGCCUUCGGGAACGCGGAGACAGGUGCUGCAUGGCUGUCGUCAGCUCGUGCCG
rnacentral:rRNA from 1 species